UGCAUUUCUUUGGGAAAAUGUAGCCUCAGCUAUUUGUCUGACAUAUUAUUGGCCAAGGUCAAGGUUGAGGUCAUAAAUCAGCCUAUGAUUCUGAUUUUAUAUCCGCAGAGAUAUAAUGGGGACAUUCGGCUAAUGUAGGCCUAAGGAGUUAAAUUAAUUGUGGGAUGGACAGCAUGGAUUUAAGAUAAUAGAAUUGUCAUUGUCCAGAGCCAGAGGAACCAACAGGAACCUCCUCGGGUCCUCAUCAUCGUCAUCCACUGCGGGUUUCCGGAAAGCAGCCCUGCAGCAGACAAAAGAGCUGAUUGCCAACAGAGAUAAUUUGAGUCAGCCAGGGCAUUAAAUUAAGAUUCACAAGGAACUUCACAAGAAGCUGACACAUAUAUUGUGUGUAUUGAGAUGAUGACAUCCUGGUUUGGAGCAAGACAACCCAUCCUCCAGUGCUGCUUGUGUCUCUGAAGUGAGCAGCAACAGACUAACAUUUGCAAUGUGGAUGGACUUUCAAGCUUCAAGCCAGCUAGUCAUCAUCAUCAUCAUGUCACAUCCUGGAUCCCAGUGACAUUAAGGAUUCCACCUAGUG